rnacentral:misc_RNA from 1 species
GAGGGGGAGAGAGAAUCGAAGGGAGACGUGAGAAAUUCGCCGGAGGCAUCGCAAGCCACACAAUAAACUAGACGAAGGAGAAAAGAAGAAGAAGAAUCUCCGUCUUUAAUGGCUGCCGCCUCAGCUAGGGUUUUACUCGCAUCUCGUCUAGCAGACCUAUCACUUAAGCCUCAUCAACAUCCUCCUCACCUACCCUCUCCUUUUACCCACCACCUCCUCAUCCGUCCCUUACUUCCUUCUCUUUCCGCUUCCACCAGGAGGCGUCCGUCCGUUAACUGCCUUAUUUCCGGCGUAGACGGCGGCGGUGUUUCGGACGACUUUGUUUCCACCAGGAAAUCCGGUUUCGGCAGUGAAUUCUCUGUUAUUGCCAAUAUGCUCAAGCGAAUUGAACCGUUGGACACUUCUGUUAUAUCUAAAGGCGUUUCUGAUUCAGCUAAGGACUCAAUGAAGCAGACCAUUUCUACUAUGUUAGGCUUGCUCCCUUCAGAUCAAUUCUCAGUCACUGUUCGGUUUUCCAAACACGCUCUCGAUCGCCUCAUUGUUUCUUCUAUCAUUACCGGGUAUACGUUGUGGAAUGCGGAGUACAGGAUAUCCUUGAUGAGGAACUUUGAUAUCCCAUCAGAUAAUUUGAAAGGCUUCAAAUCAACGGAAGAGGAUGUGAACUCAGGCUCAAAGAGCGAGGGGAUAGAGGGGGGAGAACGCGGAGUUGGUGUAAAUAUGUCUUCUGCGGUUUCAGAGAGAAUGGAUAUUCAAGCUCUUGGGAAUUUAUCUCCGGAAGCUCUGAAAUAUGUUCAACAAUUAGAAGAAGAACUCUCAUCAGUUAAGCAGGAACUGCAUUCCCAGCAACAGGAAAAUUUGCAAAUGGAGUAUAUCAACGAAAGUAACAAUGAUUUGCUGGAAUACCUCCGGUCAUUGGAAUCUGACAUGGUGACUGAACUAUCUAGACCAUCAUCCUUUGAGGUGGAGGAAAUUAUUAAGGAACUUACUCAAAACAUAUUGCAAAUAUUUUUCAAAGAGGACGAUGUUAACAAAGAAGAAGAUCCUAAUUUUAGUGGUGCCAAAGACUAUCAGAAUAGUGAUUCCGAAUUAUGCGAUGCAAUAGCCACUUCUCGGGAUUACUUGGCAAAACUACUUUUCUGGUGUAUGUUAUUGGGCCAUCAUUUGAGAGGAUUGGAGAACAGAUUGCAUCUAAGUUGUGUCGUCGGCUUGUUAUGAGUUUGCGAAGUACAAAGAGGGAUGUACAUUCUGCUUCUCUUUUACUUCCUUCUCUUAUUCUCUUUCUAGCUCAAUUAUUUCCUGUUAUUUAUAUAAAAAUAAUCCACAUAUCCUGUAAAAUUUUGUUCUUGCUAGUCACGAGUAAUUGUAUGGUGGGAGGGUGUACUGUUGAAAAUGAU